GACGAACGCUGGCGGCGUGCUUAACACAUGCAAGUCGAGCGGUAAGGCCCUUUCGGGGGUACACGAGCGGCGAACGGGUGAGUAACACGUGGGUGACCUGCCCUUAGCUCUGGGAUAAGCCUGGGAAACUGGGUCUAAUACCGGAUAUGACUCCAUGACGCAUGUUGUGGGGUGGAAAGCCUUGUGCGGCUAGGGAUGGGCCUGCGGCCUAUCAGCUUGUUGGUGGGGUGAUGGCCUACCAAGGCGACGACGGGUAGCCGGCCUGAGAGGGCGACCGGCCACACUGGGACUGAGACACGGCCCAGACUCCUACGGGAGGCAGCAGUGGGGAAUCUUGCGCAAUGGGCGAAAGCCUGACGCAGCGACGCCGCGUGGGGAUGACGGCCUC
rnacentral:rRNA from 1 species